UUUGGGGUUGUAUGGGGGAAAAAUUGAAAGGCAAGUGAAAAGCAUUGAGCUCAAAUGUUGUGAAAAGAAAAAUUCAUGAGAAAAAGAAAAGAAAAGAAGAAAAGCAUGAAGAUGAGCUCAAUGAAAAAGAAAAGGGAAGAAGUUGGAAAUAAGUGGGAUUGGUGAGAAAGAGAGUUGUGCUAAAGUGUUGAAUUCUAUGAAGGCUCUCAUAACUCAAGGAUUUUGUAUUCCGAAAAAACCAAUUUUUCUUGUUAGCCCAACCUCAUUACAAGCCUUGGAAAAGUCCUUUUGAUGGCAUUUGC
rnacentral:lncRNA from 1 species